rnacentral:tRNA from 1 species
GGUUUGGUGGUCUAGUAGUAUGAUUCACCCUUAGGGCUUCCGUUGAGCGCUUGGGUGAGGUCCCGGGUUCAAUUCCCGGCCCGACCC